AUUGAACGCUGGCGGCAGGCCUAACACAUGCAAGUCGAACGGCAGCGGGGGAUAGCUUGCUAUCCUGCCGGCGAGUGGCGGACGGGUGAGUAAUGCAUGGGGAGCUGCCCAAUCGAGGGGGAUAACAACUGGAAACGGUUGCUAAUACCGCAUACGCCCUGCGGGGGAAAGGUGGGGACCUUCGGGCCUACCGCGAUUGGCUGCACCCAUGUGGGAUUAGCUGGUUGGUGAGGUAACGGCUCACCAAGGCGACGAUCUCUAGCUGGUCUGAGAGGAUGACCAGCCACACUGGAACUGAGACACGGUCCAGACUCCUACGGGAGGCAGCAGCGGGGAAUAUUGCACAAUGGGGGAAACCCUGAUGCAGCCAUGCCGCGUGUGUGAAGAAGGCCUUCGGGUUGUAAAGCACUUUCAGUGGGGAGGAAGGGUUGAUGACUAAUAUUCAUCAGCAUUGACGUUACCCACAGAAGAAGCACCGGCUAACUCCGUGCCAGCCGCCGCAGUAAGAC
rnacentral:rRNA from 1 species